GUGCUCGCUUCAGCAGCACAUAUACUAAAAUUGGAACAGAGAAGAUUAGCACGGCCCCUGUGCAAGGAUGACAUGCAGAUUAGUGAAGCGUUCCAUAAAAGA
rnacentral:snRNA from 1 species